rnacentral:rRNA from 1 species
GGAGAAGACCACAGGGAUUACCUCAGUAACGGCGAGUGAAGCGGUAACAGCUCAAAUUUGAAAUCUGGCCUCACGGUCCGAGUUGUAAUUUGUAGAGGAUGCUUCGAGCAUGGUCUGGCCUAAGUUCCUUGGAACAGGACGUCAUAGAGGGUGAGAAUCCCGUAUGCGGCCAGGUGCCUACGCUCAUGUGAAGCUCCUUCGACGAGUCGAGUUGUUUGGGAAUGCAGCUCAAAAUGGGUGGUAAAUUUCAUCUAAAGCUAAAUAUUGGCCAGAGACCGAUAGCGCACAAGUAGAGUGAUCGAAAGAUGAAAAGCACUUUGGAAAGAGAGUUAAACAGUACGUGAAAUUGUUGAAAGGGAAGCGCUUGCAACCAGACUUGCGCGCGGCCGAUCAUCCGGUGUUCUCACCGGUGCACUCGGCCGUGCUCAGGCCAGCAUCGGUUUUGGCGGCUGGAUAAAGGCCCUAGGAAUGUAGCUCCUCUCGGGGAGUGUUAUAGCCUAGGGUGCAAUGCAGCCUGCUGGGACCGAGGACCGCGCUUCGGCUAGGAUGCUGGCGUAAUGGUUGUAAGCGGCCCGUCUUGAAACACGGACCAAGGAGUCUAACAUCUAUGCGAGUGUUUGGGUGUCAAACCCAUACGCGUAAUGAAAGUGAACGGAGGUGAGAACCCUUAAGGGUGCAUCAUCGACCGGUCCUGAAGUUUACGGAAGGAUCUGAGUAAGAGCAUAGCUGUUGGGACCCGAAAGAUGGUGAACUAUGCCUGAAUAGGGUGAAGCCAGAGGAAACUCUGGUGGAGGCUCGCAGCGGUUCUGACGUGCAAAUCGAUCGUCAAAUUUGGGUAUAGGGGCGAAAGACUAAUCGAACCAUCUAGUAGCUGGUUCCUGCCGAAGUUUCCCUCAGGAUAGCAGUGUUGAAUUCAGUUUUAUGA